rnacentral:rRNA from 1 species
GUGAACGCUGGCGGCAGGCCUAAUACAUGCCAGUCGAACGGCAGCACAGCAGAGCUUGCUCUGUGGGUGGCGAGUGGCGGACGGGUGAGGAAUACAUGGGAAUCUGCCCAGUCGUGGGGAUAACGUAUGGAAACGUACGCUAAUACCGCAAGGGCCCCUUGGGGGGAAGGCGGGGGACUUUGGGCCUGGCGGGAUUGGAUGAACCCAUGUUCGAUUAGCUAGUUGGCGGGGUAAAGGCCCACCAAGGCGACGAUCGAUAGCUGGUCUGAGAGGAUGAUCAGCCACACUGGGACUGAGACACGGCCCAGACUCCUACGGGAGGCAGCAGUAGGGAAUAUUGGACAAUGGGCGCAAGCCUGAUCCAGCCAUGCCGCGUGAGUGAAGAAGGCCCUCGGGUUGUAAAGCUCUUUUGUCCGGAAAGAAAAGCAUUCGGUUAAUACCCGGGUGUUCUGACGGUACCGGAAGAAUAAGCACCGGCUAACUUCGUG